rnacentral:rRNA from 1 species
CAGCCGCCGCGGUAAUACAGAGGGUGCAAGCGUUAAUCGGAAUUACUGGGCGUAAAGCGCGCGUAGGUGGUUUGGUAAGUUAGAGGUGAAAGCCCGGAGCUCAACUCCGGAAUUGCCUUUAAGACUGCCGAGCUAGCAGGUGAGAGAGGUAAGUGGAAUUCCGAGUGUAGAGGUGAAAUUCGUAGAUAUUCGGAAGAACACCAGUGGCGAAGGCGGCUUACUGGCUCAUACUGGACGCUGAGGUGCGAAAGCGUGGGGAGCAAACAGGAUUAGAGACCCCGGUAGUCCCUGUCUCUUAUAC